rnacentral:rRNA from 1 species
CCUACGGGAGGCAGCAGUGAGGAAUAUUGGUCAAUGGUCGGGAGACUGAACCAGCCAAGCCGCGUGAGGGAUGAAGGUACAGAGUAUUGUAAACCUCUUUUGUCAGGGAACAAAGGCGGGGACGUGUCCCCGGACGAGUGUACCUGAAGAAAAAGCCUCGGCAAACUCCGUGACAGCAGCCGCGGUAAUACGGAGGAUGCGAGCUUUAUUCGGAUUUAUUGGGUUUAAAGGGUGCGCAGGCGGUCUGUUAAGUCAGCGGUCAAAGGUCGGGGCUCAACCCCGGCCCGCCGUUGAAACUGGCAGUCUCGAGUUGGAGAGAAGUAUGCGGAAUGCGCGGUGUAGCGGUGAAAUGCAUAGAUAUCGCGCAGAACUCCGAUUGCGAAGGCAGCAUGCCGGCUCCACACUGACGCUGAGGCACGAAAGCGUGGGUAUCGAACAGGAUUAGAUACCCGUGUAGUC